rnacentral:rRNA from 1 species
CAAGGAAUUUUGCGCAAUGGACGAAAGUCUGACGCAGCAACGCCGCGUGGGGGAUGAAGGCCCUCGGGUUGUAAACCCCUUUUGCGAGGGAAGAAGAUCUGACGGUACCUCGCGAAUAAGCCACGGCUAACUACGUGCCAGCAGCCGCGGUAAUACGUAGGUGGCAAGCGUUGUCCGGAUUUACUGGGCGUAAAGCGCGCGCAGGCGGACUGGUCAGUCUGGGGUGAAAUCUCACGGCUCAACCGUGAGUGGUCCCUGGAUACUGCCAGCCUUGAGGUGUCUAGAGGAGAGCGGAAUUCCCGGUGUAGUGGUGGAAUGCGUAGAUAUCGGGAAGAACACCAGUGGCGAAAGCGGCUCUCUGGGGACCACCUGACGCUGAGGCGCGAAAGCGUGGGGAGCGAACCGGAUUAGAUACCCGUGUAGUCC